rnacentral:rRNA from 1 species
GAUUCGUCACACUAUCAUUAACUGAAUCCAUAGGUUAAUGAGGCGAACCGGGGGAACUGAAACAUCUAAGUACCCCGAGGAAAAGAAAUCAACCGAGAUUCCCCCAGUAGCGGCGAGCGAACGGGGAGGAGCCCAGAGCCUGAAUCAGCAUGUGUGUUAGUGGAAGCGUCUGGAAAGGCGCGCGAUACAGGGUGACAGCCCCGUACACAAAAGCGCAUGUGCUGUGAGCUCGAUGAGUAGGGCGGGACACGUGGUAUCCUGUCUGAAUAUGGGGGGACCAUCCUCCAAGGCUAAAUACUCCUGACUGACCGAUAGUGAACCAGUACCGUGAGGGAAAGGCGAAAAGAACCCCGGCGAGGGGAGUGAAAAAGAACCUGAAACCGUGUACGUACAAGCAGUGGGAGCCCCACCACUAAGCCAGUGGUGAACUCCACAUCCGCAUCCUUUGCUGA